rnacentral:rRNA from 1 species
GAUGAACGCUGGCGGCGUGCCUAAUACAUGCAAGUCGAGCGAACGGACGAGAAGCUUGCUUCUCUGAUGUUAGCGGCGGACGGGUGAGUAACACGUGGAUAACCUAUCUAUAAGACUGGGAUAACUUCGGGAAACCGUAGCUAAUACCGGAUAAUAUUUUGAACCGCAUGGUUCAAAAGUGAAAGACGGUCUUGCUGUCACUUAUAGAUGGAUCCGCGCUGCAUUAGCUAGUUGGUAAGGUAACGGCUUACCAAGGCAACGAUGCAUAGCCGACCUGAGAGGGUGAUCGGCCACACUGGAACUGAGACACGGUCCAGACUCCUACGGGAGGCAGCAGUAGGGAAUCUUCCGCAAUGGGCGAAAGCCUGACGGAGCAACGCCGCGUGAGUGAUGAAGGUCUUCGGAUCGUAAAACUCUGUUAUUAGGGAAGAACAUAUGUGUAAGUAACUGUGCACAUCUUGACGGUACCUAAUCAGAAAGCCCCGGCUAACUACGUG